AUGAGCUAGAACGUGCGAGGGCUGAACUCGCCAGUCAGGAGAGCCACGGUCCGUGAGGUCGCGGACUCACAUAGGCUGGUUGUGUUGUGCCUCCAGGAGACCAAAAUAGAAACAUGGUCGCCGGCGUUAGUAAAAGAAAUAGGAGGUAGCCGAUUAGACGCCGUCGCGGUCCUGCCGGCGGACGGCACCAGAGGCGGAGCCGUGAUCUUGUGGGACUCCUCCAAGAUCACCAUCACCACUAAUGCGAUCGGCCAAUUCUCCAUCACAGCCCGCGCAAUGCUCCUGCAGAGCAGCAACACAUUCUGGAUUACCACCGUUUACGGGCCUACCGACAACAACCGCAAGGAGGAGUUCCUUGCUGAGCUGAUCAGAGCCAUGCCACCUGCCGGGGAGCCUUGGUUAAUCCGUGGUGAUUUAAAUGUAAUCGAUGAGGCGAGGGACAAGAGCAACCUCAACCUAAACAGGCAGAUCAUGGGCAGAUUCAAAGCAGCCAUUGACAGAGCUGGGCUGCGAGAGAUCAAAUGCAAGAACAGAUGCUUUACUUGGAGUAAUGAGAGGGAAAACCCCACGUUCAUCGCCAUCGACAAAAUGUUUUGCAAUCUGGAGUGGGAAACCCUGUUCCCCUCCUACAUCAUGAUGGUCGCGUCCACGACAUGCUCAGAUCAUUGCCCUCUUCUGCUGUCCAACGCUGCUGCACCGCACCGCAAGGAAAUUUUCAGGUUUGAGACGUUCUGGACGCGGUUCCCGCACUUCCAGCAGACGGUAGCCAGGGCUUGGCAGAGGCCGGUCAACCAUAGCUGCCCUUUCACAAGGCUGAAGAUCAAACUGAAGAGAGUCGUGGCUGACCUGAAGAUCUAG
rnacentral:rRNA from 1 species